UCUCUCCUGACAUCUCUCUAUUUUCUUUGUGCUCUCCACUGUAUUACUGCCGACUAUCAUUUGCAAAGUGUUGUUUGGCAUUUGUGUUUUUCUCUAUUGGCUUUGCAUGCUUGGCUAGCUGCGCUUGAACCUCUCAGCAGAAGAGACCUAGGCCUUUUUUAAUAAGGUCCCUCAUGAGAAAUCUUCCUCAUCUGAGCAGGAGCAUGUCUAGAGGGCAGUUAAAGAAGAGAAAUAGAAGAGGUAACAAAUAAAAAGAUGAGGAGAUAUAGACAGAAAGGAGGAGAGACUGAUGAGGGAAGGGGAAGAACGUGAUGCGUGAUUGAGUUUGUGCAUUUUGCCUCUCUGAGAGGUGAGAGCUGCUCUAUCAGGGGACAGGAAAAAGCAUUCAGAGUGUGACAUGUUUGUCACGGUGGGCGACAUUGGCAUCUGUCACGCAACCUUUGGCAACGCUUGCAAUAACGGAGAGUUCCAGAGAGUAUGAGACAAAAAGAGACUUUGAAAAUGAGAGAGAUUUCAGAGGUGUGUUCCAGUCGUAGUGCUCGAGCUCAAGGGCUGCAGUGUUCACAGCAGCCUGUCCUGUCUGGAUAAAUCCACGCGUAAAGGCCUGAAGUUUGAAAAUUAAUAAACAUAAGAGUAAAAAGAGAUUUCCUUGUUUUUGCAUGAGCAAUUCUAUGGUAUUCACAUUUGGCACUUUGUGUUCUUGAAUAGGACAAAAGAAUCAAAAUGAUCUUCCAAAUUCAUGGAGAGGGGGAGGAGGGCUCCCAUCAGGAGGGAGGCAUGGAGCGCUGGUCAGUAUAUCAGGGAGUUUUAAUUAACAGCUCAGUGAUGAGGAUUGAAACAGCCCUCAUGCCGUUUACCACUCUACGGGACCGGAUCAAACCAAACUGCACCGCAGAGUGGGGGGGAUUGCUCAACUCAGCCAUCUAUAAAAGACUGGCACUGAAAUCAGCUGCAUUUGCAUACGAGGGUGGUGUAUGAAGCUGUGUUUGCCUGCGGCAGAUCCCCCUGGCAGUCUCUGAGAGCUGCCAUCUUCUUCUGCCAGCCCUCCAUUAGGCCUGUAAGGUGUGUCAGUCAGCGCUCGUACACAGGGGCUUAUGGGAGGACUGCGGGGAAGUGAGGAGUGAACGGAUGAAGAAAAUACGUGAUGAAAGAGUGAUUCUUGUCCAAGUGCAGUCAGUUUGAACCGGCUACUCUUCCUUCAAGUCCUUCAUGAAGUCUUUGCAAUAAUCCAUCACAAAAGGACUAUCACGGCCUUCUGGAUAUGUCUCAGUCUUCACUGAGGGACUGGAAGUAGCAUGAAAGGAGAAGCUGUCGUGCAGUUCUUGAUGGCUGUACACUAAUUGCUGACCCUAACAGGUCCAAUUAGAAGCUACACGCGCCCCGCGCGGGCCCAGGGGACUACACAUCCCGGCAUGCCGAGCACUGACAUUCUCGGAGUGACAUGAACAAGACAGCAACCAGACGUUCCCUCUUUCUUCUUUUUCUUACCAUGCUUUUCUCCAUCGUAAGUCUCAGGCUAAUUUGUUAGGGCUGAGAGGCACAUCCAAGUGACUUUUUAUGGGCCACAGAUACAGAUGCAUUUGCAGUUGGAGUUUUUGGCACUUAAAUAUAGACAGAGAUUAUGAAAUUAGAUAGUAUUAAUAGUUUUCAAAAGCACAUGAACUUAAAAGUAAAAAUAUGAUAUAGGGGUAUGUCUAAGGCCUGGGACACACUACGAUCUCUGGAACUAUAUAGUUUGUCUUUGUACCUUUAAAAAUAAUAAUAAAAUGUAAUUAAUAUAGUAUAGUAUAAUAUAAUAUAUAACAUAAUAAAUAUAAUAAGAUUAUAUUACCGAGAACAAGCGGUUUGAAGUAUAUAUGUCUGGAUUAUCUGGUACUAUUUAUGAUUUUCCGUCUAUUGUCCAAACAAAAUUGUCGGAGCCUCCCCGAUC